GAUGAAGAACGUAGCGAAAUGCGAUAAGUAGUGUGAAUUGCAGAAUUCAGUGAAUCAUCGAAUCUUUGAACGCACAUUGCGCCCCUUGGUAUUCCAUGGGGCAUGCCUGUUCGAGCGUCAUUUGUACCUUCAAGCUUUGCUUGGUGUUGGGUGUUUGUCUCGCCUUUGCGUGUAGACUCGCCUUAAAAUAAUUGGCAGCCGGCGUAUUGAUUUCGGAGCGCAGUACAUCUCGCGCUUUGCACUCAUAACGACAGCGUCCAAAAGUACAUUUUACACUCUUGACCUCGGAUCAGGCAGGGAUACCCGCUGAACUUAAGCAUAUCAAUAAGCGGAGGA
rnacentral:misc_RNA from 1 species